CUCUCCCUCUCGGCCGCGUCUUCUCUCUCUCCCCGACCUCUCUUUCUCGCACACUCUCUCUUCUUCUCUCUGCAACCACCGGAAAACACCAUUUCCGGCCACCAUCUCACCACACCGCCACCACCAAUCAACGCAGCUUCUGAAUCCGACCCAAACCCAAGAAAAAUCUGAACCAUGCAUCAACCUCUCACUCUUCUUCUUUCCUCUGCCACCACCGGAGACUCCAGCUCCAGCCACCAUCUUGCAACACCGCCGCCACCCUUCAAACUAGCACCCAAAUCCAACCAAAACCUAGCCAUUCCGCUGUCGAUCGAAAGAUCCUAACCACCGCAUGCAUGCCCGGAAACCUACGACGCCAUGCCAUCCGCGUUCACUGGUCUUCGAACCUUUUCCAUAACCACUGCCGCCACCAACGGGUUCAGGGCAGGCUGUUCAUCAACACUCCAAAGCCUCGUCGCCGACUCGACGCCGGAGAACUCCAUAUACGCCUUCGCCGGCGAUCUGGGCUUCUACAAGGCUAGGGUUACGACCUCUGACCACGAUUGAGUGAAGCCAUCACCUUGAAGAAGCUUAGGACUGCACGAAUCACCUUAACCCCUUAAUCCCGACUUCUGAUUCUGACCAGAACCACCGUAAGCGCUUCACGUGCCGCCGAUGGCGCGUGAGAUACUCCAGCUCCGCCGUGAUCUUCACCGGCGUAAUCCCUUCAUUUGCUAAGAUGUUCUCAAGUCUCAUUCCUUGGGUAGUUGAACUUCAAUUCCGAUAUAAGUAGGUUUCUAAUCUUGGGUUUUCUGGACUUGGUUGAAACAUGGACUUUUCAGAUCAGAUGGAAAGCUUCUGGUCUUGUUUUCAAUUCUGUUUUAAAGAGAUGAGGAAGAACUGAUGAGGGCUAUGAGGUGUAGCAGGUCAUUGAGUUCAUGACCUUGGCAAGAAUCGAGAUAGGACCGAAGUUUUGGAUGAAGGACAUUAGUCUGAGGCCACCACUGCGUCGAAGAGUUCUGUAAGAUACCUGGGAUCCGAAAGGUUAAAGGUGGUGGAUUGCAGUCACGACAAAUUAGCUUCUAGUUUGGGAGAGAAGAUUGGUAAGGGCCUGAUUUGGUGAUCUUGGAAUUGUUGUGGUUGAAUUGAACAAAAUUGUGAAUUCAUGGUGAAUUAAGCAUGUUGUAAGAUGAUUGGAAAAUGGAUUAAAUGGAGGUUGAAUUGAGGUGACUUUUUAUUUUGA